rnacentral:rRNA from 1 species
GACAAACGCUGGCGGCGUGCUUAACACAUGCAAGUCGAGCGGUAAGGCCCCUUCGGGGGUACACGAGCGGCGAACGGGUGAGUAACACGUGGGUGACCUGCCCUCAGCUCUGGGAUAAGCCUGGGAAACUGGGUCUAAUACCGGAUAUGACUCCAUGACGCAUGUCGUGGGGUGGAAAGCCUUGUGCGGCUGGGGAUGGGCCCGCGGCCUAUCAGCUUGUUGGUGGGGUGAUGGCCUACCAAGGCGACGACGGGUAGCCGGCCUGAGAGGGCGACCGGCCACACUGGGACUGAGACACGGCCCAGACUCCUACGGGAGGCAGCAGUGGGGAAUCUUGCGCAAUGGGCGAAAGCCUGACGCAGCGACGCCGCGUGAGGGAUGACGGCCUGGUGU